GAAUGCUGACAUAAGUAACGAUAAAGCGGGUGAAAAGCCCGCUCGCCGGAAGACCAAGGGUUCCUGUCCAACGUUAAUCGGGGCAGGGUGAGUCGACCCCUAAGGCGAGGCCGAAAGGCGUAGUCGAUGGGAAACAGGUUAAUAUUCCUGUACUUGGUGUUACUGCGAAGGGGGGACGGAGAAGGCUAUGUUGGCCGGGCGACGGUUGUCCCGGUUUAAGCGUGUAGGCUGGUUUUCCAGGCAAAUCCGGAAAAUCAAGGCUGAGGCGUGAUGACGAGGCACUACGGUGCUGAAGCAACAAAUGCCCUGCUUCCAGGAAAAGCCUCUAAGCAUCAGGUAACAUCAAAUCGUACCCCAAACCGACACAGGUGGUCAGGUAGAGAAUACCAAGGCGCUUGAGAGAACUCGGGUGAAGGAACUAGGCAAAAUGGUGCCGUAACUUCGGGAGAAGGCACGCUGAUAUGUAGGUGAAGCGACUUGCUCGUGGAGCUGAAAUCAGUCGAAGAUACCAGCUGGCUGCAACUGUUUAUUAAAAACACAGCACUGUGCAAACACGAAAGUGGACGUAUACGGUGUGACGCCUGCCCGGUGCCGGAAGGUUAAUUGAUGGGGUUAGCGGUAACGCGAAGCUCUUGAUCGAAGCCCCGGUAAACGGCGGCCGUAACUAUAACGGUCCUAAGGUAGCGAAAUUCCUUGUCGGGUAAGUUCCGACCUGCACGAAUGGCGUAAUGAUGGCCAGGCUGUCUCCACCCGAGACUCAGUGAAAUUGAACUCGCUGUGAAGAUGCAGUGUACCCGCGGCAAGACGGAAAGACCCCGUGAACCUUUACUAUAGCUUGACACUGAACAUUGAGCCUUGAUGUGUAGGAUAGGUGGGAGGCUUUGAAGUGUGGACGCCAGUCUGCAUGGAGCCGACCUUGAAAUACCACCCUUUAAUGUUUGAUGUUCUAACGUUGGCCCGUUAUCCGGGUUGCGGACAGUGUCUGGUGGGUAGUUUGACUGGGGCGGUCUCCUCCUAAAGAGUAACGGAGGAGCACGAAGGUUGGCUAAUCCUGGUCGGACAUCAGGAGGUUAGUGCAAUGGCAUAAGCCAGCUUGACUGCGAGCGUGACGGCGCGAGCAGGUGCGAAAGCAGGUCAUAGUGAUCCGGUGGUUCUGAAUGGAAGGGCCAUCGCUCAACGGAUAAAAGGUACUCCGGGGAUAACAGGCUGAUACCGCCCAAGAGUUCAUAUCGACGGCGGUGUUUGGCACCUCGAUGUCGGCUCAUCACAUCCUGGGGCUGAAGUAGGUCCCAAGGGUAUGGCUGUUCGCCAUUUAAAGUGGUACGCGAGCUGGGUUUAGAACGUCGUGAGACAGUUCGGUCCCUAUCUGCCGUGGGCGCUGGAGAACUGAGGGGGGCUGCUCCUAGUACGAGAGGACCGGAGUGGACGCAUCACUGGUGUUCGGGUUGUCAUGCCAAUGGCACUGCCCGGUAGCUAAAUGCGGAAGAGAUAAGUGCUGAAAGCAUCUAAGCACGAAACUUGCCCCGAGAUGAGUUCUCCCUGACUCCCUGAGAGUCCUGAAGGAACGUUGAAGACGACGACGUUGAUAGGCCGGGUGUGUAAGCGCAGCGAUGCGUUGAGCUAACCGGUACUAAUGAACCGUGAGG
rnacentral:rRNA from 1 species